GAUCAUGGCUCAGGAUGAACGCUAGCGGCAGGCUUAACACAUGCAAGUCGAGGGGCAGCGGGAUGUAGCAAUACAUUGCCGGCGACCGGCGGAUGGGUGCGUAACGCGUAUGCAACCUACCUUAUACAGGGGAAUAACCUUUCGAAAGGGAGACUAACACCCCAUAGUAUUGAUUUAAGGCAUCUUAGAUUAAUUAAAUAUUUAUAGGUAUAAGAUGGGCAUGCGUAUGAUUAGCUAGUUGGUAAGGUAACGGCUUACCAAGGCGACGAUCAUUAGGGGUUCUGAGAGGAAGGUCCCCACACUGGUACUGAGACACGGACCAGACUCCUACGGGAGGCAGCAGUGAGGAAUAUUGGUCAAUGGGCGCAAGCCUGAACCAGCCAUGCCGCGUGCCAGGAAGACGGCCUUAUGGGUUGUAAACUGCUUUACAUAAGACUAACCGUAUAUUUGCGAAUAUACCUGAAUGUAUUAUGAGAAUAAGGAUCGGCUAACUCCGUGCCAGCCGCCGC
rnacentral:rRNA from 1 species